UGGACACUUACUUUCCACUGUAGAUCCCUAUGGGGGCUGUAGAAAUAUUACUGACCACAGGAAAGUCAGAAAACGUUCACCUGCUUAAGAAGCAUCAGCACCUACUUCCAGAGUUAGUAGAUAUCUUCAGACUGAACCCAAAGUUGACAACUGAAGAUAUGUGGCUGCAGAAGGAUGUAACAUGACCACGGCCACUCAUUGUGCCACUCCAGGGGGCUGCCAGCCAUUCAUACCGCAUUCCAUGUGAAUGGAUCUGUGAAAGAAAAAUUGUAUCUCACCAGUGAAACAGGACGCCUGCCACAGCAUGGCUUGACAAGCCGGUAUCUGAACCUGCGAACCCCAGGCUGCUGAAG
rnacentral:lncRNA from 1 species